CCUUCGGGUCUAGUGGCGCACGGGUGCGUAACGCGUGGGAAUCUACCCUUUGCUACGGAAUAACUCAGAGAAAUUUGUGCUAAUACCGUAUAAUGUCGCAAGACCAAAGAUUUAUCGGCAGAGGACGAGCCCGCGUAAGAUUAGCUUGUUGGUGGGGUAAAGGCCUACCAAGGCGACGAUCUUUAGCUGGUCUGAGAGGAUGAUCAGCCACACUGGGACUGAGACACGGCCCAG
rnacentral:rRNA from 1 species